CCCUUCCUCCCGUGCCGCCCUCCGUCCCUCUCCGCCCGCGGCUCCCGGAGCGCCCCUUCCUCCCGUGCCGCCCUCCGUCCCUCUCCGCCAGCAUGGAGCUGUUCCAAGCCAAGGACCACUACAUCCUGCAGAGCGGGGAGCGGGCGCUCUGGUGCAGCCGGAGGGACGGCAGCCUGCAGCUGCGAGCCGCCACUGAUCUUCUUUUGGCUUGGAACCCCAUUUGUCUGGGCCUGGUGGAGGGAGUCAUUGGCAAAGUCCAGCUUCAUACAGAUUUACCAUGGUGGCUGCUUUUAAUUCGUCAGAAAGCAUUGAUUGGCAAACUUCCAGGAGAUCAUGAGGUGUGCAAAAUAACCAAGAUUGCAGUGAUUCCACUGUCUGAGACAGAGCCUCAGGAUCUGGAGCUGGAGCUUUGUAAAAAGCACCAUUUUGGGAUAAACAAGCCAGAGAAGAUAACACAGUCCCCAGAUGAUACAAAAUUCCUGCUGAAGACUCUUACUCAAAUUAAAUCUAAUGUGUCUGCUCCAAAUAAAAAGAAGAUUAGAGAAAGCAAAGAGAAAGAGAGACUGGAGAAGAGAUUAUUGGAGGAGUUGUUCAAGAUGUUCAUGGAUUCAGACUCCUUUUACUACAGCCUGAGCUAUGACCUGACAAAUUCUGUGCAGAGGCAGAGUGCCUGUGAGAAAACCAACCUGCCCCUGUGGCGGAAGGUGGAUGACAGAUUCUUUUGGAACAAGCACAUGAUUGAAGAUCUCAUCAGCAUUGAUAAUCCUGAAGUGGACUUCUGGAUCAUCCCCAUCAUUCAAGGAUUUGUGCAGAUUGAAGAACUGGUAGUAAACUACAGUGAAUCUUCUGAUGAUGACAAGAGCAGCCCUGAAACUCCUCCUCAGGAAUCCUCCUGUGUGGAUGACAUCCACCCCACGUUCCUGGUGGCGCUCAUCUCCCGCCGGAGUCGGCACAGGGCUGGAAUGCGGUAUAAGCGGAGAGGUGUUGAUAAAAAUGGAAAUGUGGCAAAUUAUGUUGAGACAGAGCAGCUGAUCCAUGUCCACAAUCACACCCUUUCCUACAUCCAAACACGAGGCUCUGUGCCUGUUUUCUGGAGCCAGGUUGGAUACAGAUACAACCCACGGCCCCGGCUGGACAAGAGUGAAAAUGAAACCGUGUCCUGUUUUCGUGCACACUUUGAAGAGCAGCUGAAAAAUUACAAAAAGCAGGUUAUUAUUAACUUGGUGGACCAGACAGGCAGAGAGAAGAUUAUUGGAGAUGCUUACCUUAAACAAGUUCUUCUCUACAACAAUGCAAAUCUGACUUAUGUUUCAUUUGACUUCCAUGAGCACUGCCGAGGAAUGAAAUUUGAAAAUGUUCAGACACUGACUGAUGCCAUUCACGAUAUUAUUCUUGACAUGAAGUGGUGCUGGGUUGACCAGGCUGGGGUGAUCUGCAAGCAGGAGGGGAUAUUCCGGGUGAACUGCAUGGACUGCCUGGAUCGCACCAACGUGGUGCAGGCUGCCAUUGCCAGAGUGGUCAUGGAGCAGCAGCUCAAAAAACUGGGUGUGAUGCCACCGGAGCAGCCUCUGCCAGUGAAGUGCAACAGGAUCUACCAGAUCAUGUGGGCCAACAACGGCGAUGCCAUCAGCCGCCAGUACGCGGGCACGGCGGCCCUGAAGGGUGACUUCACAAGGACUGGUGAAAGGAAGCUGGCAGGGGUGAUGAAGGAUGGAGUGAACUCUGCCAACAGAUAUUACCUGAAUCGUUUCAGGGAUGCUUACAGGCAAGCAGUCAUAGAUUUGAUGCAGGGCAUCCCUGUGACAGAGGACCUGUACUCCAUAUUUACAAAAGAGAAGGAGCACGAAGCCCUGCACAAGGAGAACCUGAGGAGCCACCAGGAGCUGAUCAGCCAGCUGCUGCAGAGCUACAUGAAACUGCUCUUGCCAGAUGAUGAAAAAUUCCAUGGAGGUUGGGCACUCAUUGAUUGUGACCCAAGUCUCAUUGAUGCCACUCAUAAGGAUGUGGAUGUGCUGCUUUUACUUUCAAACUCUGCCUAUUAUGUGGCCUACUACGAUGAUGAAAUCGACAAAGUGAAUCAGUACCAAAGGUUAAGUCUUGAAGCUCUGGAAAAAAUAGAAAUAGGGCCUGAGCCUACUCUCUUUGGCAAACCCAAGUUCUCUUGCAUGAGGCUGCAUUACAAGUACAAAGAAAUGAGUGGAUAUUUUCACACUCUCAGGGCUGUGGCUCGCAGCCCAGAAGAAGAUGGAAAAGACACCCUUCAGUGCAUUGCAGAAAUGCUGAGAAUCACAAAGCAAGCAAUGGGAAUGGAUGUGCCCAUUAUUGAGAAGAAGCUGGAGAGGAGGAGCAGCAAACCUCAUGAAGACAUCAUUGGCAUUCGGUCUCAGAACAGAGGGUCCCUGGCCCAAGGCAAGAAUUAUUUACUGAGCAAGUUCUCCUCCCUCAAUCAAAAGGUGAAACAAACCAAAUCCAACGUCAACAUCAGCAACCUUCGGAAGCUGGGCAGCUUUGCCAAACCUGAAGUGAAAGUCAAUUUCUUAAAGCCAAAUUUGAAAGUGAAUCUUUGGAAGUCGGACAGCAGCCUGGAAACCCUGGAGAACCCCGGGGUGGAUGCGAAGGCCGCCAGUGAAUCUGACACAGAAGGCUCAGACAACGACUCCUUCCACUCGGAUGACUUCCUGAGCAACUCCAAGUCGGACGAGGAGGGACAGCUGGGGGGGUCCCUGGAGAACAUGGGCCCCACGGACUACGUGCUGCCCAGCUGCGGCAUCAUCGCCUCGGCGCCGCGCCUGGGCAGCCGCUCGCAGUCCCUGAGCAGCACCGACGUCAGCCUCAGCGCGGCCGUGCCAGCCGAGGGCCAGGACGCCGCCCUGCCCGCCUCUGACAGCGCGGGGCUGGAGCUGGCCAAGCCCGUGGAUGUGUACUGCCAGAGGUUCGUGCAGGAUGCCCAGAGCAAGGGCUGCCAUGGGCCCGAGCCCUCUGAGGCUGCUCCUCCAGAGCCCCAGCACGCACCCGCCCAAAGCAGCGGGAGCGCCGCCAAGAAGGCAGAGCCCAAGGCUGAAGCUGUUGCAGACGUUCCUUCCAGGCCGUCAAAGCUGGAUGUUCCCUCUUCUGAGCCAAACCCUCAGCUCUUGGCUGUGGGGGGGCCUGACUGGAGCAAAUCCCACAGGAGCCCGGGCUCUGUGUCUGGGAACCAGGAGCCAGGACUCCACGGCUCUCCUUCCCCCGCCGACGGCAGCGGCAGCAGGGCCGUGUCUCCCUUCGCUAAAAUCCGCAGCUCCAUGGUCCAGGUUGCCAACAUCACCCAGGCAGGAUUGACUCAAGGGAUUAAUUUUGCUGUGGCAAAGGUCCAAAAGAGCCCUGCAGAACCAGAAGCUUUAAAUGAAAUCAAACAAAAAGAACUGAGAGAAAUGUUUACGCAAUGCCAGACGCGAAUAAUUCAGAUCUAGUUGCUCAUUUGGGAAGUGUUCUUCUAGCUGUGGCUUCUAAUAAAACAACCCAAUGACAUCAGGACUAUUGUGGCAUGAACUGCUACUGGAUACUGGGAUUGAUAAUAGGUGAUUUGUUUACAAGCAGUGAGAGAUGCAAAUGAAUUUGGUUCUGACCAAGCUUCAGAAUUCCCUCAGGCAGAUAUCCUGGGACACUUUCAUUAUAGAUGAAGCUUAGAGACCCAAUCUGAAAUACCCACAAUCCUGCAGUGCAAAUUUCUUCUGUAGAUUGGUUUUUUCCUCACUUGUUUUGAUGUGAGGGGAAAUGAAGCAAAUGUCUUUGAAUUGUCUUGCCCAUGUUAAAGCAGUUAUUUUUUUUUUUAAUUCCAAACUCUGCCCAUUUGCUCUAAGUUUUUGUCUCUGUAAAGCAGGAUGAGCCAGAUACCUGCCCAUCAGGCACUGUGUCCCUCUGUGCUAGGAUUCUCUCUAAGGAUGAAAAUUGAUGCAAAAUCCCAACUAACAUCUAGAGCAGGAGGCCAGUGCACUGCUUGUAAGAUCAGGGUUGCAUUAGAGCAUAGCUGUCAGCAUCUAUCCAAGACCAAAUUCCUGACCAGCUCCAGCUUUGCACCUCGCAGGGUGCAGCAUCCGCUCCUGCUGGGAACUGGAUCAAAACUCCCCUUUGCUCUGUGUGUCCAAGGAUUCCACCUGUGAAAUCCUCCUUCCCAGGAAUGCCUUGCCAUGCCAUUCCAGUGUAGGACCUUGUCCAGAAGCUGCUGUGAAGCAGGACCUUGCUGUGCUGUGGUUUGUGACUGUAGCACCCUGACAGACCCAGUGCCUCUGUCCUUGUCCCUGUACUGUAGAUAGGCUGCACGUGGUGUCCCCACAACGUCCUGUCCUGGCCUAGGGUAGCUCUGUGGCUUAGGACUUGUACUGUGUCUGAAAUAGUUUAUCACCUGAAACUUUGAUAAACAAAUUUGGUUUAUUUAUUUUAUUAAAGUGAUGUGGGUUUGGGUUUUUGUUCUUUUUUUGAGUGUCUAUACUUGUGGCUAUAUUUAAAAUUAAACUACUGCUGUAUUUUAAUGUGAGCAAUAUACAUGAGAUAUUUUAAUAAAAAAAGUGGAAGCAAAA